GUGGGGAAUCUUAGACAAUGGGCGCAAGCCUGAUCUAGCCAUGCCGCGUGAGUGAUGAAGGCCCUAGGGUUGUAAAGCUCUUUCAGCUGGGAAGAUAAUGACGGUACCAGCAGAAGAAGCCCCGGCUAACUCCGUGCCAGCAGCCGCGGUAAUACGGAGGGGGCUAGCGUUGUUCGGAAUUACUGGGCGUAAAGCGCGCGUAGGCGGACUGAAAAGUUGGGGGUGAAAUCCCGGGGCUCAACCUCGGAACUGCCUUCAAAACUAUCAGUCUGGAGUUCGAGAGAGGUGAGUGGAAUUCCGAGUGUAGAGGUGAAAUUCGUAGAUAUUCGGAAGAACACCAGUGGCGAAGGCGACAUACUGGUCCAUUACUGACGCUGAGGCUCGAAAGCGUGGGGAGCAAACAGGAUUAGAAACCCCGGUAGUCC
rnacentral:rRNA from 1 species